GGGGAAUAUUGGACAAUGGACCAAAAGUCUGAUCCAGCAAUUCUGUGUGCACGAUGACGUUUUUCGGAAUGUAAAGUGCUUUCAGUUGGGAAGAAAAAAAUGACGGUACCUGCAGAAGAAGCGACGGCUAAAUACGUGCCAGCAGCCGCGGUAAUACGUAUGUCGCAAGCGUUAUCCGGAAUUAUUGGGCAUAAAGGGCAUCUAGGCGGCCAGACAAGUCUGGGGUGAAAACUUGCGGCUCAACCGCAAGCCUGCCCUGGAAACUGUUUGGCUAGAGUGCUGGAGAGGUGGACGGAACUGCACGAGUAGAGGUGAAAUUCGUAGAUAUGUGCAGGAAUGCCGAUGAUGAAGAUAGUUCACUGGACGGCAACUGACGCUGAAGUGCGAAAGCUAGGGGAGCGAACAGGAUUAGAUACCCUGGUAGUCCUAGCUGUAAACGAUGAUUACUGGGUGUGGGCAUGAAGAGUGUCUGUGCCGAAGCUAAUGCGAUAAGUAAUCCGCCUGGGGAGUACGACCGCAAGGUUG
rnacentral:rRNA from 1 species